rnacentral:rRNA from 1 species
GAUGAACGCUGGCGGCGUGCCUAAUACAUGCAAGUCGAGCGAACAGAUAAGGAGCUUGCUCCUUUGACGUUAGCGGCGGACGGGUGAGUAACACGUGGGUAACCUACCUAUAAGACUGGAAUAACUCCGGGAAACCGGGGCUAAUGCCGGAUAACAUUUAGAACCGCAUGGUUCUAAAGUGAAAGAUGGUUUUGCUAUCACUUAUAGAUGGACCCGCGCCGUAUUAGCUAGUUGGUAAGGUAACGGCUUACCAAGGCAACGAUACGUAGCCGACCUGAGAGGGUGAUCGGCCACACUGGAGCUGAGCCACGGUCCAGACUCCUACGGGAGGCAGCAGUAGGGAAUCUUCCGCAAUGGGCGAAAGCCUGACGGAGCAACGCCGCGUGAGUGAUGAAGGUCUUCGGAUCGUAAAACUCUGUUAUUAGGGAAGAACAAAUGUGUAAGUAACUGUGCACGUCUUGACGGUACCUAAUCAGAAAGCCACGGCUAACUACGU